AGUGAACGCUGGCGGCGUGCCUAACACAUGCAAGUCGAACGGUAACAGUGACUUCGGUCAGCUGACGAGUGGCGCACGGGUGAGUAAUGCAUAGGUAAUGUGCCCCUUGGAUUGGGAUAGCCACUGGAAACGGUGAUUAAUACCAAAUACUCCUUUUUACCAUAAGGUAAUUUGGGAAAUGUUUUUCGCCAAGGGAUCAGCCUAUGUCCCAUCAGCUUGUUGGUAGUGUAAGAGACUACCAAGGCUAUGACGGGUAGCUGGUUUGAGAGGAUGAUCAGCCACACUGGAACUGAGACACGGUCCAG
rnacentral:rRNA from 1 species